rnacentral:rRNA from 1 species
GAUGAACGCUGGCGGCGUGCUUAACACAUGCAAGUCGAACGGUGAAGCCAAGCUUGCUUGGUGGAUCAGUGGCGAACGGGUGAGUAACACGUGAGCAACCUGCCCUGGACUCUGGGAUAAGCGCUGGAAACGGUGUCUAAUACUGGAUAUGAGCCUCUAUCGCAUGGUGGGGGUUGGAAAGAUUUUUUGGUCUGGGAUGGGCUCGCGGCCUAUCAGCUUGUUGGUGAGGUAAUGGCUCACCAAGGCGUCGACGGGUAGCCGGCCUGAGAGGGUGACCGGCCACACUGGGACUGAGACACGGCCCAGACUCCUACGGGAGGCAGCAGUGGGGAAUAUUGCACAAUGGGCGGAAGCCUGAUGCAGCAACGCCGCGUGAGGGAUGACGGCCUUCGGGUUGUAAACCUCUUUUAGCAGGGAAGAAGCGAAAGUGACGGUACCUGCAGAAAAAGCGCCGGCUAACUACGUGCCAGCAGCCGCGGUAAUACGUAGGGCGCAAGCGUUAUCCGGAAUUAUUGGGCGUAAAGAGCUCGUAGGCGGUUUGUCGCGUCUGCUGUGAAAUCCCGAGGCUCAACCUCGGGUCUGCAGUGGGUACGGGCAGACUAGAGUGCGGUAGGGGAGAUUGGAAUUCCUGGUGUAGCGGUGGAAUGCGCAGAUAUCAGGAGGAACACCGAUGGCGAAGGCAGAUCUCUGGGCCCGUAACUGACGCUGAGGAGCGAAAGGGUGGGGAGCAAACAGGCUUAGAUACCCUGGUAGUCCACCCCGUAAACGUUGGGAACUAGUUGUGGGGACCAUUCCACGGUUUCCGUGACGCAGCUAACGCAUUAAGUUCCCCGCCUGGGGAGUACGGCCGCAAGGCUAAAACUCAAAGGAAUUGACGGGGACCCGCACAAGCGGCGGAGCAUGCGGAUUAAUUCGAUGCAACGCGAAGAACCUUACCAAGGCUUGACAUACACCAGAACACCGUAGAAAUACGGGACUCUUUGGACACUGGUGAACAGGUGGUGCAUGGUUGUCGUCAGCUCGUGUCGUGAGAUGUUGGGUUAAGUCCCGCAACGAGCGCAACCCUCGUUCUAUGUUGCCAGCACGUAAUGGUGGGAACUCAUGGGAUACUGCCGGGGUCAACUCGGAGGAAGGUGGGGAUGACGUCAAAUCAUCAUGCCCCUUAUGUCUUGGGCUUCACGCAUGCUACAAUGGCCGGUACAAAGGGCUGCAAUACCGUGAGGUGGAGCGAAUCCCAAAAAGCCGGUCCCAGUUCGGAUUGAGGUCUGCAACUCGACCUCAUGAAGUCGGAGUCGCUAGUAAUCGCAGAUCAGCAACGCUGCGGUGAAUACGUUCCCGGGUCU